UACAGAGGUCUCAAGCGUUGUUCGGAUUCAUUGGGCGUAAAGGGUGCGUAGGCGGCGCGGUAAGUCGGGUGUGAAAUCUCGGGGCUUAACUCCGAAACUGCAUUCGAUACUGCCGUGCUUGAGGACUGGAGAGGAGACUGGAAUUUACGGUGUAGCGGUGAAAUGCGUAGAUAUCGUAAGGAGGACCAGUGGCGAAGGCGGGUCUCUGGACAGUUCCUGACGCUGAGGCACGAAGGCCAGGGGAGCAAACGGG
rnacentral:rRNA from 1 species